CAGUACACUGUAACUCAGAGUCCAUCAAUAACAGCUCAACCAGGACAAGAAGUCAGAAUAAACUGUAAAACCAGCAGUGCAGUCACUCCUUUAACAGGCUGUACUCCACCCUGUCUGUCCUGGUACUUACAGAAACCUGGAGAAGCUCCUAAACUCCUGAUUUAUCGGAUCAACAGACUCCAGUCUGGAACUCCAUCUAGAUUCAGUGGCAGUGGAUCUGGCAGUGAUUUCACUCUGAUCAUCAGUGGAGUCCAGACUGAAGAUACAGGAGAUUAUUACUGUCAGAGUUUCCACUAUCCAAACAGUCAAUAUGUGUUCACACAGUGAUAAAGAGUGGUACAAAAACCUCGGUCAGUCAGACGUCACAGUGAUGCACUGAUACAGCUGAGAGAUACUGCAGCUGCUGAUGGAGGAUCACAAACA